rnacentral:rRNA from 1 species
UACAGAGGUCCCGAGCGUUGUUCGGAUUCACUGGGCGUAAAGGGUGCGUAGGUGGCCUGAAAAGUUUGAUGUGAAAGCUCAGGGCUUAACCCUGAAAUGGCAUUGAAUACUGUCGGGCUGGAGGUUUGGAGGGGGGACUGGAAUUCUUGGUGUAGCAGUGAAAUGCGCAGAUAUCGGGAGGAACACCGGUGGCGAAGGCGGCAUCCUGGACCAUUACUGACACUGAAAAGCGAAAGCCAGGGGAGCAAACGGG